CCUACGGGUGGCAGCAGUGGGGGAUAUUGCACAAUGGGGGGAACCCUGAUGCAGCGACGCCGCGUGGGUGAAGGAGUUCUUCUGCAUGUAAAGCCCUAUCGGCAGGGAAGAAGCAAGACGGUACCUUACUAAUAAGCCCCGGCUAACUACGUGCCAGCAGCCGCGGUAAUACGUAGGGGGCGAGCGUUAUCCGGAUUCACUGGGUGUAAAGGGAUCGUAUACGGCGAUGCAAUCCAUGGGUGAAAGCCCGGGUCCCAACCCCGGGACUGCCCUUGGAACUGCAUGGCUGGAGUGCGGGAGGGGCAGGCGGAAUGCAUGGGGUAGCGGUGAAAUGCGUAGAUAUCAGGAGGAACACCGGCGGCGAAGGCGGCCUGCUGGACCGCGACUGACGUUGAGGCUCGAAAGCGUGGGGAGCGAACAGGAUUAGAUACCCCAGUAGUC
rnacentral:rRNA from 1 species